UACGUAGGGUCCGAGCGUUGUCCGGAAUUACUGGGCGUAAAGAGCUCGUAGGUGGUUUGUCGCGUUGUUCGUGAAAACUCACAGCUCGACUGUGGGCGUGCGGGCGAUACGGGCAGACUGGAGUACUGCAGGGGAGACUGGAAUUCCUGGUGUAGCGGUGGAAUGCGCAGAUAUCAGGAGGAACACCGGUGGCGAAGGCGGGUCUCUGGGCAGUAACUGACGCUGAGGAGCGAAAGCGUGGGGAGCGAACAGG
rnacentral:rRNA from 1 species